GCAAACUUGGUCAUUUAGAGGAAGUAAAAGUCGUAACAAGGUUUCCGUAGGUGAACCUGCGGAAGGAUCAUUGCCGAACGGACGCGCGCCCGCCGCCCUCCUCGCUUCCGCGAGUGGCGAGUCGGCCGCGUCUUAUCGCACACCCAUGUGAACUCGUGAUCGUGACCCUGGACGUGCGCGUGAGAGCGCGCGCGAUCCGGCUCCCUUCAUACCACAAACCUCGACUAUCACUCUUGACUGAGACAAAACGAUUGGGUCACGCCUAAAAAACGCGACUCGACCACAAGACAUAACCUAUCACAACUUUUAACAACGGAUAUCUUGGCUCGCGCAUCGAUGAAGAACGCAGC
rnacentral:misc_RNA from 1 species